rnacentral:rRNA from 1 species
GAUUCCCUUAGUAGCGGCGAGCGAAACGGGAUUAGCCCAGCACCAAGUCCUCUAGCCUUUAACGGGUUAGUAGGAGAUGCGGUGUAUAGGUAAAUCUAUAUUCUUAUAUGUUCCAAUACGUUCAAGUCCAUCUUGAAUGGGGCCAUUUAACCCAUAGAGGGUGCCAGGCCCGUGGUAACUAUUGUUAUUAUAAGAAGAUUUUGCCUUAGAGUGGUGUUGCUUGAUAGUGCAGCACUAAGUGGGUGGUAAACUCCAUUUAAGGCUAAAUAUAA